rnacentral:lncRNA from 1 species
AGAGGAUCUCCUCCAGCUGGCAACCUGGACAGAAAAGGAAAUGAUUAAUGGUUUGUUUAAGCAACCAACUUUACUAACACAACAACUUCAACAGGAGAGAGAUCAUACAAGCAUUAGCACCUUUCCUUUACACGCAGCAGAUCCAACAGAGAUUUUCAAAGUACACAAAAAUAUAUUUCCACUGAAUUUUACACUAAAAACAAUGGCACAAAUCAUAAAAGUGGAACAGCCUAUAUUUCCGUAUAUUAAAAGCCUAUAAUUCCGCAUAUCUAUAUCUAUAUGCUUAUAUGACAGGAAUCCUAAAUCAAGACCACACAUUGUUGCCAAACUUCCUGGUGUGCAUAAGUUACCCAAGGUAAUUUUGGCUCUACCAUACUACAACGAUCAAUUAGUAAUAGUUUAUGAUUAAGAAAGCUACAUAAUAGAAAAACUGAAUGACAAAAUGAGGAGAAAAAAGCAAAACGUCAAAGCAUAAGCAACAUAAACUUCUCUUUAUCGGGAUACUAAGGUGGAUGUAAAGAAAGAUUUUCAGAUUCAUUCAACCACAAAUUACAACAGUAACUGACAAAAUGACUACUUAAAAGUAGUGGCAGUAAGGGAAAAUAAACUUUUCAUGAAAAGAACUAUGCAAAGAGUAUGAUCAAUGUGCUUAUACUAGUACAAAAGUUGAAGCUGUAACAUACACUAGGCCAUUUAAACAAUACAUAUAAUAACUACUACUCAAUCAAAUGCUAAAUCAAUACUUAAUUGAUGCACACUUGAAAAAUUGAGGAAGUUAGAAGACUAUUACCACUAUCAUGUUAAGCAGACCUUGACAAGCAGUCCAGAUGGCUAAUCAAAUCUAUUAUCAGACCUUCCUAUCUAUAACUUUAUUGGAAUACAGGCUAUCCAUUGGGCCCAUGCCAGAAUAAUUUAACUGAAUUGUGAAUCCAAAUUAAGAGGUUGUGAAAAUCAAAGAAUAUGAGGAUAAUGAGUGCUGAUUUAGGGGUGUUCUAGUCUAAAAUAGGUACCGAUACUGGUACCGAAUUACCAGUGUCCGGUUCGGUACCGGUAAAAACCGGUUUUGUACCGAAAUUUCACCCACACAUGAAAGCACCCACAGGAAGCUUCUGGUUUCAGCUCACCAUCAUGGGUUGUCGAUGACUUGCUACACUUCUCAGGUUUUGAUUCCUCUGACAACGUAAAAAUACAAUUAACAAAUUAAAUCUUGAUUUCAUCAUUUAUUAGAUUUUCUCAUGUAUGUCAAUCGUACCAUUUUUUAAGGAAACCAAAAAGAAUGGAGCUUGGUGAUCUAUAUCCUGACCACCAUUUACAACCGAAAAGACUUGCUGCCUUCUGCUACCAAUAUUAUGUUUGAUCUAAAAGACCCACAACAAAAGAUAACACAUUUAAGCCCAGAACGGAGAAAGAAAGAAAACCCAGAUGAAGAUCAAUCUAAAAUCAGAGAAUCCAUAAGGGUUUAGCAUAAAUCAAAACUUACAAUUGAAGGGCUUGCAGGAGCGAAAGUGUUUAGUUGAAGAGGAGAGAGAUAGAGGAUUAGAUUUGGGAUGGUAAGUAAUUUGAAGAGGAGAG